GAGGUUUGAGGUUCCUCCUUUCUUUAGCCAUGGUCAUGUUGUGUUCACUUCCCCUUUCAUCUCUUCAUACCCUGUGAACACAGCUUUUCUUCUGAGGCUGAUCAGUGACAGGAGACGUUUCACAUUGUUUAACGCAGGUCUGGCUGCUGGAAAAAGCAGCUGCUCAUCCACAAACAUUAAAAAGAAGUGACAUGGAAGCUGGGCUUGGGCUGUUGCUGAUGCUCCUAGGAGUCUGUCAUGUUGCAGGUGUUGAAACUUACUGUGACGGUCGACAGAAUGGAGCUCAGUGUUAUGGAGUUCUGGGUGGAGCUGUGGUCCUCCGGCUGAUGGAUAACGCCUCACUAAUACCAGGAUAUGACUGGAACAAAGGAAACUUAGUAAUACUCAAAUGGAAAAACAAUGAGAUUGUAACAAAUACUCUAGAAAGACAGAGCACUUUUUAUUCCUAGUAAUGGAACAUUUAGGAUCAAUAAUCUGAAUGACAGUGUUGACAGUGGUGAAUAUACACUUAGAACUUUUGAUUCAGAUAAGAAGAUCACGAGAAGUCAGACUCUCCAGUUGACUGUUCAAGUUUCAGAAUAUAACCCCAUGCCAGUAAUUGCUGGAGUUCUGUCAACGCUGCUCAUCCUGCUUGCUGUUGGUGUCGCAGUCAUCUGGGCUCACAGGAAAAAACAGUACAACCAAGAGGAAGGAAGUGACCAGGAAGUGACUUAUGCUGAUGUCAGGAUGGUGCAACGUCAGGAAAGGAAGGUGGAGCAAAGGGUGGAGGGAGAGGUGGAGUAUGGCCAAAUUAAGUUUUCAGAGCAACCUCAGAGGACUGAACCAGUUAGAGAUGAUUUCGUGUUACAUGAGCUGAAGAAACGAACGAUUUGAUGUGCUCUGUUCUUUACAAGCACUGCAGCAGACGGAGGGAGGAGAUGAUUUCAAGAUGUCCAAAUGUGUUUCAACAGAAACGCACGAGUGUGUGACGAGUACAAUGCUUUCAUCUGUCUAACUCCAGACCGACAGCAUGAUACAGCAACUUAUGCAACAGUGUGAUACUUUGUUGGGAUGUAUUUAUAAACAUGUGACAAUCUACAACAUGACCCAGAGAUAUGGCAAGAACCUGCACUGAUAACAAUAUAAAAUAUAGAAUAUUCUACAUCUCACGGAGGAUGUUUUCUAAGUUUAGUUUUAUGCUCUUGUCUUCAGGGAAACAUAAAUAUAAAGGCCAAGGUUUAAAUAAGUAUAAUAUAACAACACUGAUAUUUAUGUAGAGUCCCACUUUCAAGACAGGAUAUAAAUACUGUUGCACAUUCACACAGAUCAUUCAUAGUUAAUAGGAAGUCACAUGAUUACAAGAAUGUUGACACACUAUAAAUACUUUGUGAUCUUGCAGCCAUCAGUUACACAGCUAUCAAAAGGCUGGUAACAGUAGAAAUGAUCACUGAGCGAUACCAAAUACUAAAGACCCAUGUGCUCAGUAAAGACAUUAUUCCAAGUUAAUAUCAACUAGCUCACUGACAGACCACAGUAUGUGAGGAUGCAUGGAUGUUAAUCAGAUGUGGUAGUCUGCAGCACGGGGUCCUGUAGGGGACCGUGCUCUCACUGUUCCUGUUCACACCUCAGACUGCAACUACAACUCCCCCCUCUGUCAUCUGCAGAAGAUCUCCGAGAGUACACCCAAUAUACAAUUCAGUUCCUGUCAACCCCAUCACCCUGUCUAUCCUCCUCAUCACACCCCGCUGCUUCCCACCACUCAAUCAUAUGUAAAUAACUCAUUAUCAUUUUGUAAAAAUUUCUGUUGCUAUUGUUGGCUGGCUGGCGGAAGGAUGGAUGGAUGGAAGGAUGGAUGGAUGGAAGGAUGGAUAUAUUUUAUACUAGAUGGAUGUACUUGUGAAUAAAAGAAUUAUUCAAUGUAUUUGUUUCCUAUCAAACAAAUCUUUAGAAGCAUAACAUUAAAAACCUCAAUUUGUCA